rnacentral:rRNA from 1 species
GAAGUUUUCAGAGAUGAGAAUGUGCCUUCGGGAACCGUGAGACAGGUGCUGCAUGGCUGUCGUCAGCUCGUGUUGUGAAAUGUUGGGUUAAGUCCCGCAACGAGCGCAACCCUUAUCCUUUGUUGCCAGCGAUUAGGUCGGGAACUCAAAGGAGACUGCCAGUGAUAAACUGGAGGAAGGUGGGGAUGACGUCAAGUCAUCAUGGCCCUUACGACCAGGGCUACACACGUGCUACAAUGGCGCAUACAAAGAGAAGCGACCUCGCGAGAGCAAGCGGACCUCAUAAAGUGCGUCGUAGUCCGGAUUGGAGUCUGCAACUCGACUCCAUGAAGUCGGAAUCGCUAGUAAUCGUGGAUCAGAAUGCCACGGUGAAUACGUUCCCGGGCCUUGUACACACCGCCCGUCACACCAUGGGAGUGGGUUGCAAAAGAAGUAGGUAGCUUAACCUUCGGGAGGGCGCUUACCACUUUGUGAUUCAUGACUGGGGUGAAGUCGUAACAAGGUAACCGUAGGGGAACCUG